AAAACAAAACAAUUGCAGUUUAAUUUUAAUUGGUUUUUUGAAAAAUAAAAAUUCAGUAUUACAACAAUUGUUCAAGCGAUACACACGACAAAAGUUUAAAAUUUUUUUUUCCUAUAAAACACAAAAACAAACAAAAUGUUUUUCGAUCUAUUGCAAGGAUUAUUUGAUAUGAUUUGGGGAUUAUUACCAUUUGGUGGUAGUGAUGACGAUGAUGAUGGUUCUGAAGAAUCCUAAUUUAAAUUUAACACCUCAACGAUUUUAGUCAUGCCCGAUUACCACUUAAAAAUAAAAUAACAACAACAUGUUAAAUAUUUUUGAAAUGAUAUUUUUAUUUUUUCGAGGUCUAACGAAAAUUGUCCAAGUCAUUAGGGAACCACCUACCUCCGGCGAUGAACCCGAUUCCGAUGAAGUUGAAAUUAUUUCCACUUAACAUUGUUUGAUUUUAUUGUUAAAUUCAAUAUAUUUUAUUUAAUAUUAUUCAUAAUUUAUUUUUAUAUAGUUUUAUUUAUAUAAAUAUAUUAUAUUUGUUUUAAAUACA